UGGGGAAUAUUGGACAAUGGGGGCAACCCUGAUCCAGCCAUGCCGCGUGAGUGAUGAAGGCCUUCGGGUUGUAAAGCUCUUUUGGCGGGGACGAUGAUGACGGUACCCGCAGAAUAAGCCCCGGCUAACUUCGUGCCAGCAGCCGCGGUAAGACGAAGGGGGCUAGCGUUGUUCGGAAUUACUGGGCGUAAAGCGAGUGUAGGCGGUUGCCGUAGUCAGGUGUGAAAGCCUUGAGCUCAACUCAAGAAAUGCACUUGAUACUGGGUGACUAGAGGACCGGAGAGGAUAGUGGAAUUCCCAGUGUAGUGGUGAAAUACGUAGAGAUUGGGAAGAACACCAGUGGCGAAGGCGGCUAUCUGGACGGUUACUGACGCUAAGACUCGAAAGCGUGGGGAGCAAACAGGAUUAGAUACCCUGGUAGUCCACGCCGUAAACGAUGGGUGCUAGACGUUGGCGAGCUUGCUCGUCAGUGUCGCAGCUAACGCGUUAAGCACCCCGCCCGGGGAGUACGGCCGCAAAGGUUGAAACUCAAAUGAAUUG
rnacentral:rRNA from 1 species